rnacentral:rRNA from 1 species
UGAGUUAGUUAUUAAAGCUUUAUGCGCUGAGGGAUUGGGAUAUGCUCUAUUAGCUUGUUGGCGGGGUAAAAGCCCACCAAGGCUAUGAUAGAUAGCUGGUCUUAGAGGAUGAACAGCCACAAUGGGAUUGAGAUACGGCCCAUAUUCCUACGGGAAGCAGCAGUAGGGAAUCUUCCACAAUGGACGAAAGUCUGAUGGAGCAAUACCAUGUGAACGAUGAAGGUCUUUUUGAUUGUAAAGUUCUUUUAUGAGGGAUAACAACUGAUAGUACCUCAUGAAUA